GUGUCAGCCGCCGCGGUAAAACGUAGGUACCGAGCGUUAUCCGGAUUUACUGGGCGUAAAGCGCGUUCAGGCGGUCUGGCAAGUCGGGCAUGAAAUCUCUCGGCUCAACCGGGAGGGGUUGUCCGAUACUGCUGGACUUGAGGGCAGGAGAGGGUGGUGGAAUUCCGGGUGUAGUGGUGAAAUGCGUAGAGAUCCGGAGGAACACCAGUGGCGAAGGCGGCCACCUGGCCUGCACCUGACGCUGAAACGCGAAAGCUAGGGGAGCGAACGGGAUUAGAAACCCGCGUAGUCC
rnacentral:rRNA from 1 species